UCGGGGACUUGAGAGCGGCGUACGGGUGCGUACACGUGUGCAACCUGCCUCUAUCUGGGGGAUAGCCUCCCGAAAGGAAGAUUAAUACCCCAUAAUAUAAUGAUUGGCAUCAAUUAUUAUUGAAAACUCCGGUGGAUAGAGAUGGGCACGCGCAAGAUUAGAUAGUUGGUGGGGUAACGGCCCACCAAGUCGAUGAUCUUUAGGGGUCCUGAGAGGGAGAUCCCCCACACUGGUACUGAGACACGGACCAGACUCCUACGGGAGGCAGCAGUGAGGAAUAUUGGACAAUGGGUGGAAGCCUGAUCCAGCCAUCCCGCGUGAAGGACGACGGCCCUAUGGGUUGUAAACUUCUUUUGUACAGGGAUAAACCUCCCCUCGUGAGGGGAGCUGAAGGUACUGUACGAAUAAGCACCGGCUAACUCCGUGCCAGCAGCCGCGGUAAUACGGAGGGUGCAAGCGUUAUCCGGAUUUAUUGGGUUUAAAGGGUCCGUAGGCGGGCCCGUAAGUCAGUGGUGAAAUCUCGCAGCUUAACUGCGAAACUGCCAUUGAUACUGCGGGUCUUGAGUGAAUUUGAAGUGGCUGGAAUAAGUAGUGUAGCGGUGAAAUGCAUAGAUAUUACUUAGAACACCGAUUGCGAAGGCAGGUCACUAAGAUUCAACUGACGCUGAGGGACGAAAGCGUGGGGAGCGAACAGGAUUAGAUACCCUGGUAGUCCACGCCGUANACGAUGCUAACUCGUUUUCGGGCCGCAAGGCUCGGAGACCAAGCGAAAGUGAUAAGUUAGC
rnacentral:rRNA from 1 species